UACGUAGGGUGCAAGCGUUAAUCGGAAUUACUGGGCGUAAAGGGCGCGUAGGCGGUCAGCACAAGUCAGUUGUGAAAUCUCCGGGCUUAACUCGGAAAGGUCAACUGAUACUGUGCGACUAGAGUGCAGAAGGGGCAACUGGAAUUCUCGGUGUAGCGGUGAAAUGCGUAGAUAUCGAGAGGAACACCUGCGGCGAAGGCGGGUUGCUGGGCUGACACUGACGCUGAGGCGCGAAAGCCAGGGGAGCGAACGGG
rnacentral:rRNA from 1 species